rnacentral:rRNA from 1 species
GAUGAACGCUAGCGGCAGGCUUAAUACAUGCAAGUCGAGGGACAGCACAGGUAGCAAUACUGGGUGGUAACCGGCAAACGGGUGCGGAACACGUACACAACCUUCCUUUAAGUGGGGGAUAGCCCAGAGAAAUUUGGAUUAAUACACCGUAAUAUAGUUGAAUGGCAUCAUUUGAUUAUUAUAACUACGGCGCUUAAUGAUGGGUGUGCGGCUGAUUAGAUAGUUGGCGGGGUAACGGCCCACCAAGACUACGAUCAGUAGCUGAUGUGAGAGCAUGAUCAGCCACACGGGCACUGAGACACGGGCCCGACUCCUACGGGAGGCAGCAGUAAGGAAUAUUGGUCAAUGGACGCAAGUCUGAACCAGCCAUGCCGCGUGAAGGAUUAAGGUCCUCUGGAUUGUAAACUUCUUCUAUUUGGGACGAAAAAGGGCCUUUCUAGGUCAACUGACGGUACCAGAUGAAUAAGCACCGGCUAACUCCGUGCCAGCAGCCGCGGUAAUAC